GCCCAGAUAGCUCAGUUGGUAGAGCAGAGGAUUGAAAAUCCUCGUGUCGGUGGUUCGAUUCCGCCUCUGGGCACCA
rnacentral:tRNA from 9 species